rnacentral:rRNA from 1 species
CCUACGGGAGGCAGCAGUGGGGAAUAUUGGACAAUGGGCGCAAGCCUGAUCCAGCAAUGCCGCGUGAGUGAAGAAGGCCUUAGGGUUGUAAAGCUCUUUUGCCCGGGAAGAUAAUGACGGUACCGGGAGAAUAAGCCCCGGCUAACUCCGUGCCAGCAGCCGCGGUAAU